UGGGGAAUUUUGGGCAAUGGGCGCAAGCCUGAUCCAGCAAUGCCGCGUGCAGGAUGAAGGCCUUCGGGUUGUAAACUGCUUUUGUACGGAACGAAAAGCUUCUGGUUAAUACCUGGGAGUCAUGACGGUACCGUAAGAAUAAGCACCGGCUAACUACGUGCCAGCAGCCGCGGUAAUACGUAGGGUGCGGGCGUUAAUCGGAAUUACUGGGCGUAAAGCGUGCGCGGGCGGUUAUGUAAGACAGAGGUGAAAUCCCCGGGCUCAACCUGGGAACUGCCUUUGUGACUGCAUGGCUAGAGUGCGGCAGAGGGGGAUGGAAUUCCGCGUGUAGCAGUGAAAUGCGUAGAUAUGCGGAGGAACACCGAUGGCGAAGGCAAUCACCUGGGCCUGCACUGACGCUCAUGCACGAAAGCGUGGGGAGCAAACA
rnacentral:rRNA from 1 species